rnacentral:rRNA from 1 species
UACGUAGGGUGCGAGCGUUAAUCGGAAUUACUGGGCGUAAAGCGUGCGCAGGCGGUUCGUUAAGUUCGUUGUGAAAGCCCCGGGCUCAACCUGGGAACCGCAAUGGAAACUGGCGGGCUUGAGUGUGGCAGAGGGGGGUGGAAUUCCGCGUGUAGCAGUGAAAUGCGUAGAGAUGCGGAGGAACACCGAUGGCGAAGGCAGCCCCCUGGGCCAACACUGACGCUCAGGCACGAAAGCGUGGGGAGCAAACAGG